UAAGCCUGAAUUUUAAACCCUAUUGAAUGUUUUAUCCUUAUUUUUCAGAUGGGUAAACCGAGAUGCAGAGUAAAUAAUUUCCCCACGGUUACAAAAUGAGACUGUGCCAAAGCUGGGACUAGAACCCAGAGGUUCAGACGCCUUUUCCAGUGUUCUAUGAAUACCACUUCCUCUAUUUCUCCAGCCAGUGGUUACAUUAUACAAAUAGCAAGGCUUGGAAGGAUUAGGCUUUUAUUGGCCCUGCCUCUGAACAACCUACAACAGGGGUGGACAACUCCAGCACUGAGCUCCUGCUGCUGGCCAUGGAUUUCUGGAUAUCUUUUAAAACGAUGACUGAAAACAUCAUACAGCAGUAGAAGAUUUCAGAUGAGAAAUAUUGUAACUCAGUUCUGAAUCGUUAUCUACAAAGGUGGAGUAUGUUUUUCCUUUGUAAAGGAAUACUAGGCUGGUAGAGUGCUACAUGCUGUUGUUUUUUAUAUGUUUAAAAGAAAAGGGAAAAUAAAUGUUAAAGAUUUGCACA
rnacentral:lncRNA from 1 species